CCUACGGGUGGCAGCAGUGAGGAAUAUUGGUCAAUGGCCGGAAGGCUGAACCAGCCAUGCCGCGUGAAGGUCAGUGCCCUAUGGGCGUUAAACUUCUUUUGUGCGGGAGCAAUAAUGGUCACGUGUGGCCAGACAAGAGUACCGUACGAAUAAGCAUCGGCUAACUCCGUGCCAGCAGCCGCGGUAAUACGGGGGAUGCCAGCGUUAUCCGGAUUUAUUGGGGUUAAGGGGUGCGUAGGCUGUGAGGUAAGUCAGCGGUGAAAUGCCCCCGCUCAACGGGGUGAAGUGCCAUUGAUACUGUCUUGCUGGAAUGCGGAUGCCGUGGGAGGAAUAUGUGGUGUAGCGGUGAAAUGCAUAGAUAUCACACAGAACACCGAUUGCGAAGGCAUCUCACGAAUCCGCGAUUGACGCUGAUGCACGAAAGCGUGGGUAUCAAACAGGAUUAGAUACCCCUGUAGUC
rnacentral:rRNA from 1 species